rnacentral:rRNA from 1 species
UACGUAGGGGGCAAGCGUUGUCCGGAUUCAUUGGGCGUAAAGAGCGUGUAGGCGGCCAGGUAGGUCGGUUGUGAAAACUGGAGGCUCAACCUUCAGAGGUCGACCGAAACCAUCUGGCUAGAGUCCGGGAGAGGAGAGUGGAAUUCCUGGUGUAGCGGUGAAAUUCGUAGAUAUUCGCAAGAACACCAGUGGCGAAGGCGGCUCACUGGCCCGAUACUGACGCUGAGGCACGAAAGCGUGGGGAGCAAACAGG